UACUUAGUAAAAAACAUAGCCUUCUAAUCCCAGUGCACGUACUGUUACAGCUCCAACCUCACCAUGUUUCCGCAAGCACUUCUUCUGCUCCUCCUUCUUCAUUGUUGUCACAUCGUUGCUUCAUCAUCCAUCAUCAACAACCUACCGGGUUUUUCCGGCGACCUCCCCUUCAAACUUGAAACUGGGUUGGUAUUUCUUUGUUUUUGUUUUUGUUUUCAAAUCGGGGUCUUGUUUCGCAUCUAUAUAGAGGUGUCCUUAUGUGUUCUCCUCUCUCAGUUUAGUUGUUCAUCUCUUUCAUGCUUUGCUGUGAACGAAAGGAUAUUUCUAUGGUAUAUGGUACUAAUUAUUAUUAAUUUUUUUUUUUUUGGUUCCCUCUAUGAAUUAUACUCUAUAUCAAUUAAUACGUACCAAUUGCAAUGAUGAGAAUGAAAAUUAUGAUUUAAAUUAUAUAAAGGUACGUUGCGGUGGGCAAUUUGGAUGAUAUUCAGUUGUUUUAUUUCUUCAUCGAGUCGGAGAGAAGUCCCAAGGAAGAUCCUUUACUGCUUUGGCUCAGCGGAGGUCCUGGUUGCUCUUCUUUUACUGCCAUGGUAUACAACAGUACAGGUACAUUAUUAUCUCAACUCUUUAUAUCGUACUCUCCACUUAUAUUAUAUGAUCAACAAUUCUCAUUCACAGUCUGACAACAAAUAAAAAAAUUACUCCGUAUAUUGCUGAACCGGGAAUUCCCCCUCCAGAAUUAUUUUGAAACUGUACAAAACCAUUAGUUGGAUUUUGACUGGAAGGUAGCUAUCUAUAGGUCAGUGUACAGUAACAUCAAAGAAUUAAUGGUUGUUAUCAUAUAACAAUUUGAUAACCUCAUCUGUUUUUCUUUUUUCUUUUUUGGAUUGGAACAAGACAUCGUUGAUCUUCAUCCAAACAUGCACAAAGAAUUUGUGAUCAUCCUAUAAAGGAUAUCAAAUGACUUUGCAUUUGAUAAAAAUAUUUUUGGUACGUCCAUUAAUUUUCAACUACGCAAAUUCUAGUGGGAACGAACCAACAUUUUUGUUGAAUCCAGACGCAUGGACAAAGGUAAGAUCAGAGAGAAACCUACUGCUAAUUAAUUUAUGAUUUGUCAAUAACUUAACCCCGAAUGCAUAUUGAAAAAUGUUCAGAUUGCCAACGUAAUAUUUUUGGAUCAACCUGUUGGUACUGGAUAUUCCUAUGCAAAAAGUUGGGAAGAAUACCGGGCUGGUGAUACAUUGUCAUGUACUCAGACCUAUGAAUUUCUAAGGAAGGUGAAAAUUUGGCAUAGUAUUGACUAUCAUCGAAAUCUCACCAAGAAAAACCUUAGAGCACUGGUUUACAGGUACACUGAUUAAUAUUCUUAAUUUUCUCCAUUUCCAAAUUUUGUCUAUCCAUAAAAAAUCCACUACCGUUUGUGUGAAAAAAACCGAUGAAUUCAGUAUUCUUCUGUCUGAAAU
rnacentral:lncRNA from 1 species